rnacentral:rRNA from 1 species
GAUGAACGCUGGCGGCGUGCCUAAUACAUGCAAGUCGAGCGAAUGGAUUAAGAGCUUGCUCUUAUGAAGUUAGCGGCGGACGGGUGAGUAACACGUGGGUAACCUGCCCAUAAGACUGGGAUAACUCCGGGAAACCGGGGCUAAUACCGGAUAACAUUUUGAACCGCAUGGUUCGAAAUUGAAAGGCGGCUUCGGCUGUCACUUAUGGAUGGACCCGCGUCGCAUUAGCUAGUUGGUGAGGUAACGGCUCACCAAGGCAACGAUGCGUAGCCGACCUGGGGGGGUGAUCGGCCACACUGGGACUGAGACACGGCCCAGCCUCCUACGGGAGGCAGCAGUAGGGAAUCUUCCGCAAUGGACGAAAGUCUGACGGAGCAACGCCGCGUGAGUGAUGAAGGCUUUCGGGUCGUAAAACUCUUUUGUUAGGGAAGAACAAGUGCUAGUUGAAUAAGCUGGCACCUUGACGGUACCUAACCAGAAAGCCACGGCUAACUACGUGCCAGCAGCCGCCGUAA